UACCUUUUUACAAUCAAUUAAAGACACUAUAAUGUAUAAAAUACUUUGGAAUAUUUGUAAAAUGGAAAAUAGAUUACCCUUUCUUAGUCGUGGUGAGGAGGUGGAGGAGACUUGUACUUGUAAACUGGAGGUGGUGGGGACUUGUACUUGUAAACUGGAGGUGGUGGGGACUUGUACUUGUAAACUGGAGGCAACAAGAAAUUCUAAUAUUCAUCCAAUUAAUAAUUUGAUGGCUGUCUGUGUAAUUUUCAAUUUUAAUUAUUCCUUGAUUGGGAUCCGUUGACUCCAAAGACGUAGCACUGUACUAGAUCUUGAUAUUGUCCUAGUCAUGAUUUUAUUUUAUUUUUUAAUUAUUUUUCCUUUCACCUCUCUCCUUCACACACGUGGAUUUUGAUUUUGACUACGAAAUUUAUUAGUUUUGAGUUUUUGACACUCGAAAACGAUAUUAUAUUAAACAAAAUAACUAAAGGCAUGAUGAAGAAAAGUAAUAUAAGCAAAGAAAUAAUAUGAUUUGUUUAAAUAUUUCGGGGUAGGUGGUGGUGGUGGAGACUUGUACACAUAAGGCUUUUUUGGGGGUGGUGGUGGAGACUUGUAGACAUAGGGUUUCUUCGGUGGAGGUGGUGACUUGUACUCGGGAGGUGGUGGAGACUUAUAUACUGGAGGCGGUGGUGGUGGAGACUUGUAGAUAUAAGGCUUCUUUGGUGGUGGUGGUGGAGACUUGUAUUCAUAAGGCUUCUUUGGGGGUGGUGGUGGAGACUUGUAGACAUAAGGCUUCUUUGGGGGUGGUGGUGGAGACUUGUAGACAUAAGGCUUCUUUGGUGGUGGUGGUGGAGACUUGUAUUCAUAAGGCUUCUUUGGGGGUGGUGGUGGAGAUUUGUAGACAUAGGGUUUCUUCGGUGGAGGUGGUGACUUGUAGACCGGAGGCGGUGAAGACUUGUAUACUGGUGGUGGUGGAGAUUUGUAAAUAUAAGGUUUAUCGUCAUCUGCAUUGGUUACAAAAGGCAAGGAUAGAGCCACUAUUGCCACCAUUAGAGUGGCAAUAAGAGAAGCCAUUGUAGACAUCUUUAGUUUUAGUUUUGAUUGUGCUAAGAACCCUUACAUGCAUCCCUUUAUAUAUAGAUUAGGAUUUACCAUUUUCAACUCAUUAAUAAUUGAUUAAUUACGGUUAAAAAAGAUAAAAUGACUAAACCCAUAACUUAAUCGCUAGAUCUUGUCGGUAAUUAGUGGCUGAAAGCUAAGCAAACGAAAUAAAAUAGGUUAUAUGACUAUUCUUUGUCCAUUUGAUGCAAUAAUUCAAUGAAAAAGUCUUCCAAUUGCAAGACUUUCUUUUCUUUUUUUUUUUGUGUAUAUUAAUAUGUAUUUAUAUUUCUAAAUAGUAUGAGAAAUUUGAAAUUUUGUUGCCUAACUUUGGAUAAUGAUUGGUACAUGGUUAACGAUUCAUAUUUUGCAACCCUUUUUCUUUUCAAACGGAGCACACAGUUUUUUCCUUUUUAAGCAUAAAUUCAUUAAAAUCUACGUCGAAUUUUUACGCCACCAUAUAUAUAUAUAUAUAUAUGUAUUGCCGGGCUCUCUGUUUUCAAUUUGCCUUAAUGCAUCGUGUAUUGUAUUUGUAAGAAUCAUUGGCAAAGUCGUAAUCGCUAGAGGAAGGGGAUUUAGGCCAUCUCCAACCAUUGCACCAAAUUGCACCAAAAUUUGGUGCAAACUUCCUCCAACCAUUGCACCAUUGCACCAAAUUUUUAUUAUUUUAGUUAGUUAGGAGGCUAAUAUAAACAUUGUAAAAAGUGGUCAAGUUGUAGUACGAUUCCAAUAUUCUAGAAAGAUUGGUUAUAUUCACACCAUAUAUAUAUAUUUUUUUGAUAAAUACACCAUAUAUUAAUCAAAUUACAGUUUAUUAUCACAAUUAUAUCCUUAAACCUUUCUUCAGCACACUUUUAUUUUUAACAUUUCAUUAAUUAGAAUAUUUUGUCCUUAAUCAUCAUUUCUCAUUUCCGUCCAAAAAUAUUAUUAACAUUCUUUAAAAUAAGAAUCAAAUAUUUAAUCGCACUUUUGUAGUAUUAUUUAUUUUGCUUAUUCAACAAUACCAUGGGCAAAUGAGUCUUUUGACUCUAUCUCAAGGAAAAAUUUGGAGAGAACCCAUAAUAAAAAAUAAUUUAUGUAUUUGAGAAGAAAAAUGCGAUGAAAAAAAUUUUGAGACAUAAAUGUAAUAAUGUGUAAAAUUAAGUUAUGAAUAUUUUAUGCAAUUAAAAUGUAGUCUAGUUAUUAAAAUUUGUGGUGUGAAUAUGUUAAGCCAUUCUAGAAUUGUGUCCAACACAUUAUUUGAAAAUUAUGUUUAAAUGCUUGUUUGGAAUAGUAUGAAAAGUUGCCAGAAAGUUGAGAUCAAAAUCAACAAUUAAUUUUAAUCAUACGUUAAAUGAUCCAAAUUUUUAUUUAACUUUUCAAUCACAUAUAUUGUCAACUUCUAUCUAAAUCUACUAAAAUUUUUAUCAAAAAAUUUUGUUAAAUAACCCUAAACUUUGACAAGUGCAAGUUUAGUUUGGAUUAACAUGGUGAAGAUCGCCACAAGAAACUACGAACCUAAGGAUAAGAGACGUAAGGAAUAUCAAUAAGUACGAAAAUUGUAUAUUAACCUAUAUAUAAUCUCAAUGAUUGUGACAACAUGCGAUGACAUGGGAAUCUAGAUAUUCUAGUGAUCAAUUCGUAAGUUGUAAAUUGACUCAUGUAUGUACAAGUUUAUUUAUUAUUCAAAUUUCAAAUAUGGUGCAACACUAUUCAUGUUGCACCAUUUUGCACCAAAUGGUGCAAUGUCCAUUUUACCUUUAUUUUUCUUUUUUCAAAGUUAAGGGUUAAGGGCAUUUGUGUCAUUUUCGUUCUAUAAUAAUAAUGAUAAUGAUAAUGAUGAGAAUAAUAAUAAUUACUUAAUUAAUUAUACUCUUAAUUAUAUUAUUAAAAUUUAUUAUUUUUAAUAAUAUAAUCAAUAAUAAUUAACGUAAUUGUUAAUUUAACGUACAGUUAAAUUCGUAAGGUUUACGUUUAAAAUUUAAUUUAAUGUAGAGUUUAUAUUAUUAAAGUUCAUUAUUUUUGUAAAUUUAACGUAAUUGUUUAUCAUAAAUUAAUAAUAUAAUCAAUUAUUUUUGUCAAUUUAACAUAAUAUAUAUGACAUGUAAUAAUAUAGUAAUCAAUAUAUUUGUUAAUUUAGUGAAGUUAUGAAUUAGUAAUAUAUAUAGUUAUAAAAUAAAUAAAUAAAUAAAUAAUAUUUUAAAAUAAAUAUAUUGUCAAAAAUCGAAAGAAUGAAUAAAAUAAUAAAGUACUGUUCAUUUGGUGUAAAUUUUGGUGUAAUGGUUGGAGAAGAAUUUUGGUUUGGUGCAAGAUUUAGUGCAAAAUUUGGUGCAAAAUGAUGCAAAAUUUGGUACAGGGUUGGAGAUGACCUUAGGAUUGCAAAAUAUGCUUUUUAAAAAUAAAAAGUCUCUUUGAAAUACUUUAAAAUAUUAAUCACCAGGUCAUCUACCGCUUCCCGAAGUGAGGUCCCACUAUGAUCCGACAAUUCUUGAAGUAGUUAAUAAUUCCUUGCUUAAUGAAAACAUCGUCCCACUUACCCUUUUGUGGAGCUUCCGUCCCUUCUAGAGAAAAGAAUGAUAGUUUUAAAAGUUUUAGCUUAAAAUUUUUAGUUUUUCUAGCGCCCACUUUGUUAAGGGAUAUAAUUCCGCAUCGAAUAAAGAUGAAAAUAUUGACCACUUUAUAAGGGGGUUUGAGCUACUCCUCUUAACGAGGUUUACCUUUUAAGAUGGAACCCUAAAUCUUAACAUGAUAUCAGAGUCCAUUAUAUUUCAACGAGAUCUACUAAAAAAAGAGCCACUAUCUUGCGGGACAUGUUAAGGGAUAUAAUCUCAUAUCGAAUAAAGACGAAAAUAUAGAUCAAUUUAUAAAGAUUUGUGCUACUUCUCUUAACAAGCUUGACAUUUUAAGAUUCAACCUCAAGUCUUAACACAUUUAUCUUCCACUACUAAUAGACUUUUUUUUUUUUUUUUUUAAAUCAAAACGGAAAAGUAGCCCUUACAUUUAACUUGUAAAUUAGAAAAUAGAAUUUAAGUAUAUAUAGUGCAUUAUAUUUUCUAACAAAUGCACUGAUGAUAGAGAGAAUCAAAGAAAUUAGAGUCGAAAUAAUUUUAUAUAAUCGAAUCUAAAAAAUUUAUCAAGAAUAAAUUUUUAUUUAUUUAUUUAUUCUUUCGACCUUUAAUUAAUAUUGACCGAAAAAAAAAAAAAGCAUCUAGUUGAUCCGUCUACGCAAGAUGGUCACAUAAAAUAACGAAUCUUAGUUUCUAAAAUUAGGUGAAGACUUAAUCAAAUUAAUUAAUUAUCAGGAUAAACAUUAAAUUUAUUCAUGAAGAACUGGUCAUCUUAAUUUUUUCAUUCAAAUUUGAUGUAAAGAUGUUUGAAACUGCACACGAUGAGCUUUUCUAAGGAAGAAAUAGUCAUCUUAAUUUGGUAAUAAAUAAUUCAGUAAUAAACAUUUAAGUGAAAAAAACGUCAUUAUAAAAAAUUAAAUAGGAAACCCUCUUUAUUUACCUUUAACUCGUUUUGAAAAUCUUGGUAGAAGUUUUGCUUAUAUUGUAUAUUGUAAGAGAAAAAUAAAGCAAUGUGAACAUCUUAAAAAUUAAUCACAAUGGAAGGAAAAAAAAAUAAUCAUAGUCAAUUAUACGUGGUAUGAUUGAGAGCUAAAAUCCAAUCUAUUUAAAGGGCCCACUUUGGUCAACCUUGUAGACUAAGGGAGCUACUUGAGCCCUAUUUUUUAUUAAAAAAUAAAUUUUGUAAUAGUGAUUUUUUUUUUUUUUUUAGAAUAUUUGAUUAAAAAAAGUAAGGAAAGUUUCAUGUUUAUGUGCAAAAUUAUUUUAUUGAAAGAAUUUAAUUGAAAAUGAGUCUAAGAAAAAAAAAAUUAAAGAACGGAGAUCAAAGAAAGACUAAGCCCCGUUUGGUAAUAAUUUUUCAUCCCAAAAAAUCAAAAUUUUAACCGUUAUUUCACUAUUUCAAUCAUCAUUUUUGACUUCUUUAAUCACAAGGAGGACCUAUUUCCUCUCUAACAGUCAAAAAAUCACUUCUCAUAAUUAUUACCAAACAUACCGUAAAACUGCAAAUUUUGUUUGAUAAUUUACUUUUUUUUUUUUUUUUUUUUUUUUUUUUUUGAUUAGUUAAUUUAAUCACCGACAGAACCAAAUUAUUAGAUUAGCAUAAUAAACAAUAUUAUUAGGUUUUUUUUUUUUUAUAAUAAUUCUUUGUUAACAAUCAAUAUAAUAUCGUGCCAUUGAUAGUCGGUACAACAGUGUUAGCAAGUUGUGCCAAGUUGAAAUUUCAAAUAUAUACUUUUGCAAUGUUUUCUUUACUAUAGAUUAAAUUGAAUUAUUCGCUUAUUUGCUUAGUGAUAUUAUUAGUUUAAUUACUCUUUAAUCACCGACAAACAAAGAUUAUCUUAAUCAUCUAAUCUUAGAUUAACAUAAUAAAAAAAUAUUAGUAGGUAGCACUUUGUUAACACUUGAGAUUUGAGUCGACAAUGUGAACUACUAGCAUCCUAGGUCAUUUACUUAAACAUAUAAUUUUUCUUUUAAUAUGGAAGAUCAAAUCUUAAUAAAGGGCAAUCCCAUAAUAUUUUAUUGUAUUACAUAAAAAUAAAAAGGGUGGUCAUAUUGCCACUGUAUUUUUUAUUUGAUACACCACAUUUUAAUUGCAAUUAAACUCCUCAAUUUUUUACUCAUUUUAUCAUUUAUUUCUUUAACAUUUUUAUUGAAUUUUUAUCUUUAACUUUUCAUUAAUUAAUACAUCUAGUCCUUAAUGAUAAUUUAUAUCAAAAUAUUUUAUUUUUAUGAUUUGAAACGAGGGGAAAAUAUUUUUGACACUUUUAUUUAUUUAUUUUUAAAAAAAUAUGAUAGAAAAUAAGUUAAUCUACGCAAUUUCGAUGAACUGUUGGACAUAAAACUAUUAUUACAUUUUUAUUUAACUUUUCGACCACAUAUAUUGUCAACUUCUUUCUAAAUCUACUAAAAUUUUUUAUCAAAAAAUUUUGUUAAAUAACCCCCUAAACUUUGACAAGUGCAAGUAAAGUUUGGACUAACAUGGUGAGGAUGGCCACAAGAAACUACGAACCUAAGGAUAAGAGAUGUAAGGAAUAUCACUAGUACGAAAAUUGUAUAUUUAGCCUAUAUAUAAUCUCAAUGAUUGUUACAACGUACGAUGAACAUGGGAGUCUAGAUAUUCUAGUGCUCAAUUAGUAAGUUGUAAAUUGACUCAUGUAUUUACAAGUUUAUUUAUUAUUCAAAUUAUUUAAUUUUUUUUAAGAGAAUCGAGUAGAGGACUUUGAUGGUGAAACAACAAUUUUUAACCAAUCACGACAAAAUGAAUUUAUUUAAAUAAUACUAUUAUCACAUCUCUUCAAAUGCUAGACACAUUUUUUUUUUUUUCAUCAAUAGCCUCUUAGUGCAUGCCCAAUUCACUUUUUCAGCAAAUUUAUUUAUCUAAGUUAUGUCUUCAAUAAUCCAUUCGAUUUUAGCUUUAGCCGUGAAAAGGGUUUUGGCUUGAAGAGCCAUUUUUUGUCAAUAAAAUAAAUAGAUUCUGUAUUAAGUAUAUUUUACGUUUUGUAUUUUACUCAAUAUGUCAAUAUCUAAUUCCAAGAAAUUAUUUAUGUAUAUUUAUGUUUUCAAUAUGCCCCAACAUAUCUAUGCUAUGUGAACAUCUUAUAUUUAUCGCGAUAGAUGUUAUUUGAAUUCUUAAAUUUUAUCAAAUUAAGUAUGAUAUUUAAUAAUCUCAUCUACUUAAAGUAAAGAUUUAUUUCAAGACUUCCAUUAAACAAGAACAUGAACAUUCACUUAUUUAUUAUAUAAAUCAUGAAACACUCUGCAUACAACCAUGCAUGGCUUGCUACGUAAAACAUAGGGACGCUAAUCUUAAUAAAAUAAACAAACUGAAGAAAAUUAUGACAACUUCUUCUGCAGUAUAUAUAGCUUAUUCUAUUCUUCUUCCAUCGCUUUCAUUCUUCCUCAAAAAUCAUUUUCAGCAUAUCCAUUUCUUCUUUAUUCUGGAAAUCUUCUCCUUCCUGCAAGAAUGGAUUGGCUUAUAAGAUUAAAACGAGUUGUUAGAAUCAACUAAAUCGAACUCUAAGACUCAAUAUGGUAUCAGAGUCAAAUAAACUCAACAAUACGAUUCCACGAUUGAUAUUUACAAACGAGUCUAGCAUUCUUGAUUUUCAUAUUGUCUGGCAAUUUUUUGUGUUGUCUGUGGUGAAGUUUAUUCCAUUAUUUUAUAUGUUUACCUUUUUACAAUCAAUUAAAGACACUAUAAUGUAUAAAAUACUUUGGAAUAUUUGUAAAAUGGAAAAUAGAUUACCCUUUCUUAGUCGUGGUGAGGAGGUGGAGGAGACUUGUACUUGUAAACUGGAGGUGGUGGGGACUUGUACUUGUAAACCGGAGGUGGUGGUGGUGGGGACUUGUACACAUAGGGUUUCUUCGGGGUAGGUGGUGGUGGUGGAGACUUGUACACAUAAGGCUUUUUUGGGGGUGGUGGUGGAGACUUGUAGACAUAGGGUUUCUUCGGUGGAGGUGGUGACUUGUACUCGGGAGGUGGUGGAGACUUAUAUACUGGAGGCGGUGGUGGUGGAGACUUGUAGAUAUAAGGCUUCUUUGGUGGUGGUGGUGGAGACUUGUAUUCAUAAGGCUUCUUCGGGGGUGGUGGUGGAGACUUGUAGACAUAAGGCUUCUUUGGUGGUGGUGGUGGAGACUUGUAUUCAUAAGGCUUCUUCGGGGGUGGUGGUGGAGACUUGUAGACAUAAGGCUUCUUUGGUGGUGGUGGUGGAGACUUGUAUUCAUAAGGCUUCUUCGGGGGUGGUGGUGGAGACUUGUAGACAUAAGGCUUCUUUGGUGGUGGUGGUGGAGACUUGUAUUCAUAAGGCUUCUUUGGGGGUGGUGGUGGAGAUUUGUAGACAUAGGGUUUCUUCGGUGGAGGUGGUGACUUGUAGACCGGAGGCGGUGGAGACUUGUAUACUGGUGGUGGUGGAGACUUGUAAAUAUAAGGUUUAUCGUCAUCUGCAUUGGUUACAAAAGGCAAGGAUAGAGCCACUAUUGCCACCAUUAGAGUGGCAAUAAGAGAAGCCAUUGUAGACAUCUUUAGUUU
rnacentral:lncRNA from 1 species